rnacentral:rRNA from 1 species
AAGUUCCGACCUGCACGAAUGGCAUAACGACUUGGAAACUGUCUCAACGAGGGACUCGGCGAAAUUGCAAGAACGGUAAAGAUGCCGUUUACCCACGGCUAGACGAAAAGACCCCGUGAAGCUUUACUACAACUUGGCAUUGAAAUAGGAUUAGGUCUGUUCAGAAUAAGUGGGAGACUUUGAAAUCCCGCCGCCAGGCGGGAUGGAGUCGAUAAGUGAAAUACCACUCCGAUUUGCUUCUAUUUCUAACCCGAUCCCGUGAACCCGGGACGGAGACAGUGUCUGGUGGGUAGUUUGACUGGGGCGGUCGCCUCCUAAAAUGUAACGGAGGCGUUUACUAAGGUUGGCUAUCUGUCGAUGGAAACGACAGAGAUAGGGCAAAGCCACAAGCCAGCUUUACUGCAAGACCUACAAGUCGCGCAGUUGCGAAAGCAGAACUUAGUGAUCCGACAAUACUUAAUAGUCGGGUUGAAGCUCAACGGAUAAAAGUUACUCCGGGGAUAACAGGCUGAUCGCGCCCAAGCGUCCACAGCGACGGCGCGGUUUGGCACCUCGAUGUCGGCUCAUCGCAUCCUGGGGGUGGAGAAGCUCCCAAGGGUUUGGCUGUUCGCCAAUUAAAGCGGUACGCGAG